rfam:Microgenomates (Roizmanbacteria) bacterium GW2011_GWC2_34_23 TR56_C0003, whole genome shotgun sequence.
GGGCCCAUAGCUCAACUGGCAGAGCAGCAGCCUUUUAAGCUGUUGGUUGUGAGUUCGAGUCUCACUGGGCUCA